GUGAGGAAGAAAAACACUAAUGCACAAGUUCCUAUAAGAACUUCGUACUUAAGCGUUCUUGGGUGAGAGCAGUACUAGGAUGGGUGACCUCCUGGGAAGUCCCCAGGUCGCACAGC
rnacentral:rRNA from 1 species